AUACGGAGGAUCCGAGCGUUAUCCGGAUUUAUUGGGUUUAAAGGGUGCGUAGGUGGUUUGAUAAGUCAGCGGUGAAAGUUUGCAGCCUAACUGUAAAAAUGCCGUUGAAACUGUCGGACUUGAGUGUACAUGAGGUAGGCGGAAUGCGUGAUGUAGCGGUGAAAUGCAUAGAUAUCACGCAGAACUCCGAUUGCGAAGGCAGCUUACUAAGCUACAACUGACACUGAAGCACGAAAGCGUGGGGAUCAAACAGGAUUAGAUACCCUGGUAGUCCACGCAGUAAACGAUGAUUACUAGCUGUUUGCGAUACACAGUAAGCGGCACAGCGAAAGCGUUAAGUAAUCCACCUGGGGAGUACGCCGGCAACGGUGAAACUCAAAGGAAUUGACGGGG
rnacentral:rRNA from 1 species